rnacentral:lncRNA from 10 species
CUCUCCGGGCCUCCGGCUCCGUAUAGCCGCGCAUCCUAGCCCGAAGCUGAUGCUGCCCGGUCGGCUCCGGCCUUCCCGGCUGCCUGACCCGCCGGGCCCCAAGCCCCGGGCUCCGGCCUGGGCCCAGCGGCCUGGAGCGCGGCCUUGGCCCGUCUGCCCGCCGCCUCGCCGCCACGACUUCGCCCGUCUGUGCCCCACCGGCCGCACCUUUGAAUAGGUAGUCGUACUCGUCGUCCCGGGUCCCCAUUGUCCUGGCGCUUCCGGCGGGAUCGGCGACUCCGCAGCCCCACCACAAACACCCGACGGGGGCGGAGCCGGCGCCGCGCAGAGCGGCGGUUGAAUGGCCUAUCAGCGGCGAGUGGAGUAGCGACGGGCACCCAGCGAAGCCAAUCAGAGAUGGAAGUAGUGCUCUGAGGGUGGGCGCCGCUUGGUACCACCCUCCUCGCCCUCGGUGUCCUGGAGAAAGGCGGAAGGAAUGCGGACCUUUUUGAAGUGACGGACGCGCCAGCCUAUCAGGGGCGAGCUCAAGAGGGCGGGGCGGAAGACUGCAGGAAUGAAAUGGAUUGACAGACCAAAUAACUAAUGAGAGGCUUGAUUGAGAACCUACCCGACUAUCAGAGGACCUGUCCGGGAAGAGAAAUGGGGCUACGUCCAGACAGAAUCUCGCUCUGUUGCCUGGGCUGGAGUGCAGUGGCACUGUAUCCGGAAUUGGGGGGUUCUUGGUCUCACUGACUUCAAGAAUGAAGCCAUGGACCCUUGCGAGAUGGGGGUUCCACCAUGUUGGCCCGGCUGGUCUCGAACUGCUGACCUCAAGUGACCUGCCUGUCUCGGCCUCACAAAUGGCUGGGAUUACAGGCACGAGACACCGUGCCUGGCCCUGGGAACAUGUUUACAUGGACUUUGUUCACUUUUUAAAACAAACUGAGGGUAACUUACUAGAUCUGUGAACUAAAGAAAGAGAAAAAAAAGAAAGAAAACAAACAAGAACAAA